AAUUCUAAACUGCCGUGCCUCAGCCAACAGCUAUCUGCAGCUCAUUUCCUGCUUUCUGGCCAUCUUAUCUCUGUCUCCAAACAUUCCUCAGCUUUCUCUUUCCAGGAAAAUCCUUAUUUAAUAACAAUCAACAGAACAGGAUUAUGAACAGACGCCAUACAGAGGUAUUUGUAAGAAAGAAGGUGGAUGCCAGAAUCCUUUCUUCAAACAGAAGCUUACCAGUAAGUGCAGACUAAUACAACAGGUAGGUCAAGGCUAAUCCAGUUGGAGGGGGUGCUGGUGGAGGUGGGCACUGAGGGAGGGGGUCAGUGCCCUAGCCGUCCAGCCCUCUCCAUCCUCCUGCACCCCCCACAUCUGGGUUCUAUGCAGCCUGAUGUGUCCCCACCCCCUCCUAUGCAAUGAAGGAGGGAGAGGAAGAGAGGGAGGGCGGCUUCCCCAAGACCACCCAGGGUACUGGUUUGUGGUGGAGCGGGAAGAGGUCACGAGGCCUCCUGCCUAGCACUCCCUCUCUUACCCCAGCCUGUCUGUUGCCGCCUGCAUCCCUCCAUUCACACAGUGUCUUCUCCUGCCAGACCCCAGCAGGACACAGCGGGCAGGACAGGUUCCUCUGGGUCUGCCCGAAGGACUCAAAGUCCAGGGACAAGAGUUGCUUGGUGGCCUCAGGAAGGAGAGGAGGCACUGUUUUGGAUGGGCCGGGGGAAGUGGAGGUGGGAUGCAGGGCUGUGGAGUCCUCCUGGCAGCCUAGGCUGUGUGUGGGGCGUGGCGGGAUGUCAGAGGGUCUGUGUUGAGGCCUAGCCCUGUCUCCUCUACAGUGGAGGAACUGCUUUGGGACUCAGUUUUCUUACUUGUAAAAUGGGGCCACGCUCUGCCCUUCCAGCUUCAUGUUGCUGAAGGGAGGCUCUAAGGAGACAGAAGCUUCCUGUUCCUGUAACAAGAUGCCAUGAGCGAAUCAUACUCUCAGCCUGGCCCCCAGGAGUCUCCUGCCUUCGGGCUUCUGGAGUUCCCUGCUCCACUCUGACCCCCAGGGAGAGUCCCCAUGUAUCCUCCCCGCUGUGGAGGGUGCCCUUGCAGUCCUCCCUGAGCUGCCCCAGGAUGACUGGCUCCACAGGGAAUGUCCUCCCACUCUGUAGGAAGUGGAGCACGGCUGAGAAGAACUCCCUGUGGUCAGGUCACCCCCAUCCCCAGACGCACACAGACACAAACACAUACAUAUCCUGAGGUAUUGAAGAAGAAUUCACCACACCCUGAAGAUUGCUUUCCACAAAGCACUCUCUCCAAGCCCUGAGUCACCCAACUCCUUCACUCUGGACACCCUGCCAGGAACAAGGAUAUUUGUCCUUUCGGCAGACAUGGGUUCAAGUCCCUGCUCCACUGCUAACUAAUGGCAUGGCCUGGGUCAAGCAUUACUUGCUAAUCUCAGUUUUUUCAUAGGUAGAAUAAGGAUAAUAGCAUCAACCUUAUAUGGUGGUUGUGAGGAUCAAGUGAGAUAAUGUGUGUCUGGCAGGAGGAAAGCCAUGGGGGGUGGGGGGUGGGGGUUGAGUGUUCCACCCCAGUCUCUCCCUUCUCUCUGCUCAUCAGAGAAAAUCCUGACUUGGCCUAUUUGAAUUGUGUGUGUGUGUGUGUGUGUGUGUGUGUGUGUGUGUGUGCACACCUCCCUUAACCCUCUAAGAAAGGUGCGGAUUUAUUGGAAUAGUCCUUAGGCAUAGGCGAUAUAGAACUGGGAGGAGAGAGAGAGAGGGAAGAAGGAUUAGCAGCAAGACUGAGGGAGGAGGGAGGUUUGAGCAGCUGUAAUGGGUGAGGGAAGAGAGUGGGUGGGAGAAAGGAGAUUUGAGAAGCAUCGCUAUGAUCCAUGAAUCUUUGUAGUCAAGUUUAAGAAAUUCAAGUAAACAGAGUUAUUGGGAAAUUAUGAUUUUUUGGUUGCUAUUCUCUCUCUCCUCUCCCUCUCUGUCUCUUUUUUUUUUCCUUUGAGAUGGGAUCUUGCUCUGUCGCCUAGGCUGGAGUGACGCAGUGGUGAGAUCAUAGCUCACUGCAGCCAAUUUUUUUUUGUAGCGACAGGGUCUUGUUAUAUUGCCCAGUGUGGUCUCAAACUCCUGGCUUCAAGUGAUCUUCCUGCCUUAGCCUCCCAAAGUGCUGGGAUUACAGGCAUGAGCUACUGCGCCCAGCCUGGUUGCCAUCCUUGAUGAUAACACAGCUUUGAGACUGGACCAUUUGCAUGACGGCCUUAUAAGUGAUACCCCUACGUAACAUGCUUAGCACACAGUAGGGACACAGUAGGCACAGUGACUGGUGCUGUAUCCUCUCAAUUUGGACGACACUUGUGUGCACGUGUACUGUCUCCCAUAUUGGACUGGGUAUUUCCUGAGUGUGGGUUGGGUCACAUCAGCCUGGGAGUGACUUGAAGCCUGGGACUCUAUUUUGUUUCCCUGCCCUCCCACCCCCCGCCAUAUUAGAUGAGAAGCUCCUUGAGGACAGGGAUUCUUCCUGUCCUGCUUUCUUCAUUAGACCUGCGACUCCCAGUGUGGGUGAUGCUUUUCCUCCUUUUGGCUCUGCUCGAGGCCUGAGAACAGGAUCCUGCUCACAGACUGUGUCUUAGCUCCAUAUUUGUCUGACUAAUGGGCCUAACUCUGCCUGGGUGGGAGGCGAAGGUAGAGGGAGGAAGAAGGCAGAGCUCAAGGCCUGAGGUGUUUUCUUCUGACUUGUGCUGCCCAAGGCGGUAAAGAGAAGAACAGAGAAAGCAUCCUGCCCCAGCCCUGCCCCAGAGCUAAACGUCAUUCUAGAGAAUGAAAAAUUCCAUCCCCACCCAGUGGGUUCUCAGAAUUCCAGAGAGAUUGGAACUACAGCAAAGGUAUGAACAGGUGUCACGGGGACACAGAAGAAAGAGCAGUUACUCUUCUGGAAGGCUGGAGAAGAUUUUGUGAAUGUGGGGAUGUUUGAUUUGAACCUUGAAGAACAAGCAGAGACCCAAGAAGUACAGAAGAGGGGAGGUGGAAAUAGCAUGAACGAGGUGGGGCAUGCAAAUUCACUUUCAAUUGAUACAAUCUUUCACCUCAGAGCUGCUUCUUGUAACACAGAAGUUUUCAGAUUCUAUGAAAAGGUAUUGAGUGAAUUGAAGGCUCUGUUAAGGGGGCAAAUAUCUCCCCUCCCCAUUCUCCUAUCAGCCCAUAAAACAGGAACUGACAACCUCUUGGAAGAAUUGGGAAGAAACUUUUCGAUUUUCUCUGUACAAUCUUCACUGGUUCCUCUUUGUGAGAGGAGGAGGGACCUCUUGGAUUGGUGUCGUUGGGAAAAGGGUAUCAAGUGUGCAUGGCUCAGCCUGUUCCUGGCUCUUUCUCUGGGACUGACGUGACUGCAAGCAGCAUGUUCUCUCUCUGCUCCUGCCUCCUCCAGGCAAUGAGCACCAGGGCGGGUCCAGCCCUUGCUUGGGAGGACUUCAAUAGUCCAGCUGCUCUGCCGCGAGUGGGUGAGUGAGUUCAAGUCAGAGGAGAAGACACAGAAAGCUCAUUUGGGCCUUGGGUCUUAGCCACAUCCUCCAGUCCAUCUGGACUAGCAAUAAAGCUGACAUUUUAAUCCCUA